UACAGUAUUUAGAAUGUGAAUCAAAUUUAUACCUAAGUCCCAUUUCUUUCGUUACUUCCAUAAAAAUACGAAUUUACAUAAAAAUCCGCAGCCUAGUUAUAACUUCGAUACACAUAUAUAUAUUUUAUCGCAAUCGUUGAUUAAAGUUUUUUACACCAAGAAAUUAAUAAGAAUUUUGUAGAACUAAUCAGGAGUUUAAAUCAAUUUGUGAAGAUAUAUGUCGGAGAUUGUUAAAGCAACUCUCACUUGAUGAACUUCUGAUCGCUCACGAAUGCGCCUUCCGCGUGCAAUCAUUCAUCAUUCGAGAUGUACAUAGCAAUUACUUUUUGGAACGGAACGAAGAGUUUCAGUAGCAACUACUAUAGACGUGUUAUUACGUAAAUCUUCUACGAUGCAAACAACCAGACAUUAAUUAUUGAUGAAUAGGAAUUUAAUGAAAACCAUGUUUGUGACGAUUAGAGAUCUCCUAUGAAUGACAAUAAAUACAGACCUAUUAAUUCUGUUAUGAAAGUUGAUUUGAUGAAAUUAAAGACAUACAUAUAAUUAAAAAGUUGUAUAACACGUAUUGUAUGAAAGUACACACCGUAUACCAUAAAUUAUGUGAUGAACUAGAUUAUACAUUGCAUAGUAUACAAUAUACUGUGCUAUAAGGCAUAUAUAUGUAUCAUACAUCAAACUAAAUAUAUAAGAAGUAAUAUGUAUUUUUAUGAAAAUAAUGAAGAGAUUCUUAAUGUUUAGAAUCAAGUGUUUUGCGCGUUGAAACAUUCAAACUAUACAGAUACUUUCACCCUAGCGUUCAUUUAUGGAGCAGCAGUGUGAAAAGAGACGGUAGCUACAUUUUCAUACGCGCCAUGUGUCGACCAUAAUUAAAUCCUAAUUACUGGAGCCAGACUUAAUUUGAUUUGACGCUAAAAAAAAAAAGAAAAAAGAAAACCUGGAUAGUGUCGAUAACCGUACAUGUAAGGUCUUUGAUCUUGGUUGACAUAGUUUCCAUUGAAAUGUCGUGGAAUGCGUCACGCGUGUCUGCCGACACUUUUACAGAUUAAAAUAAGAAUUGUUGAGGCCGAACACCAUGAAUAAAUGCACAUAAAUUUUCUUUCGUUUAAAAGUAUCGUUGAAGCGGUAUAUAUAUACUUUAAUAUCUAUCAAUUGAUUUUGCAAUUUAAUACAAUAUGAUUUUAAUUAAUGUGUGCUAAUGGACGUUAUAGCAAGCUUGUAACUAAUGUAGCGGAACACCUAUAAAAUAAUUUAUAAGCACGAUUAAUGAUUAAAAUACAAGGAAUAUUUUAUUUCUGUCUACAUUAUUCCUUAUUUGUAAUUGAUCUGGUUUAUAAUGCGAAGGAAAUUACAUUUGCUAUUUCAAAUAGAUUUGCUAUGCAAAUGGCAGCGGUCGAGGGCAGAAAUAUUUCAGAGGAAUCCAUCUAAAAAUGUAUGGCACUCAAUGGGUCUAAUUAUAUGCAGACAGCUUGUCUCUCCCAAACGUUGCACGAAUAUCCAAGCUUUCACUUGUGUUAUUUAAAUACCAGGAUCAUACUUUUCCAAGUUGCUAGAUCUGUCGACUCACGAUUUUUUCCAUUACUACCAAAACGAUUAUCUUACAUUCAUUGAAUUAAUUACUUAGAAAUUAGCGAGUUGCUUGCUGAACAAUGUUUUCUGCUAAUCUGCCAAAAAUACUACAAUUUCUGUAAACAUGUUAGAAAAUCCCUACAUAUAUCCUAUGUGCAAUAGCAAAUGUGCUAUUCUGAAAUGUGCAUCAAUCAAACUUUAUCAAAACAAACUUACCUAAGCAAAUAUACUGAAUAUACAUCAUAAAACAAAAUAAGAUGCAAAUGUUUUUCA